ensembl:snRNA Gm22301 U6 spliceosomal RNA
AUACUCACUCCAGCAGCACAUAUACUAAAACUGGAACGAUACAGAGAAGAUUAGCAUGACCCCUGUGCAAAGAUGACCCGAAAAAUUCAUGAAGAGUUCCAUAUUUUU